rnacentral:rRNA from 1 species
UAACUGAAUCCAUAGGUUAAUGAGGCGAACCGGGGGAACUGAAACAUCUAAGUACCCCGAGGAAAAGAAAUCAACCGAGAUUCCCCCAGUAGCGGCGAGCGAACGGGGAGGAGCCCAGAGCCUGAAUCAGCAUGUGUGUUAGUGGAAGCGUCUGGAAAGGCGCGCGAUACAGGGUGACAGCCCCGUACACAAAAGCGCAUGUGCUGUGAGCUCGAUGAGUAGGGCGGGACACGUGGUAUCCUGUCUGAAUAUGGGGGGACCAUCCUCCAAGGCUAAAUACUCCUGACUGACCGAUAGUGAACCAGUACCGUGAGGGAAAGGCGAAAAGAACCCCGGCGAGGGGAGUGAAAAAGAACCUGAAACCGUGUACGUACAAGCAGUGGGAGCACCCUUUGGGGUGUGACUGCGUACCUUUUGUAUAAUGGGUCAGCGACUUAUAUUCUGUAGCAAGGUUAACCGAAUAGGGGAGCCGGAGGGAAACCGAGUCUUAAUUGGGCGUUAAGUUGCAGGGUAUAGACCCGAAACCCGGUGAUCUAGCCAUGGGCAGGUUGAAGGUUGGGUAACACUAACUGGAGGACCGAACCGACUAAUGUUGAAAAAUUAGCGGAUGACCUGUGGCUGGGGGUGAAAGGCCAAUCAAACCGGGAGAUAGCUGGUUCUCCCCGAAAGCUAUUUAGGUAGCGCCUCGUGAAUUCAUCUCCGGGGGUAGAGCACUGUUUCGGCUAGGGGGCCAUCCCGGCUUACCAACCCGAUGCAAACUGCGAAUACCGGAGAAUGUUAUCACGGGAGACACACGGCGGGUGCUAACGUCCGUCGUGAAGAGGGAAACAACCCAGACCGCCAGCUAAGGUCCCAAAGUCAUGGUUAAGUGGGAAACGAUGUGGGAAGGCCCAGACAGCCAGGAUGUUGGCUUAGAAGCAGCCAUCAUUUAAAGAAAGCGUAAUAGCUCACUGGUCGAGUCGGCCUGCGCGGAAGAUGUAACGGGGCUAAACCAUGCACCGAAGCUGCGGCAGCGACACUGUGUGUUGUUGGGUAGGGGAGCGUUCUGUAAGCCUGCGAAGGUGGCCUGUGAGGGUUGCUGGAGGUAUCAGAAGUGCGAAUGCUGACAUAAGUAACGAUAAAGCGGGUGAAAAGCCCGCUCGCCGGAAGACCAAGGGUUCCUGUCCAACGUUAAUCGGGGCAGGGUGAGUCGACCCCUAAGGCGAGGCCGAAAGGCGUAGUCGAUGGGAAACGGGUUAAUAUUCCCGUACUUGGUGUUACUGCGAAGGGGGGACGGAGAAGGCUAUGUUGGCCGGGCGACGGUU